ACCACCACAGAGCUGCUCAAUUUGUCUGGUACGUGGACCCAUGGCUCCUGAGAGGUGGGAAGGGGCUGCCUGCAUCCGUGGGCCCUGAAUCACGACAUAGAGGAAGAUGCCUCUGCUUCUCGAUGUUGGAGGUGGGAAGAAAGCAAGGGCAGGACAAUGCCCUCCAGGAGAUGCCAAUGUGGAUGAAUUUAGCCUGCAGUACAGGGCAUCAGAAGCCCCAAAUAGAGAAGCGGCAGUCUCGUUUCCAAUGCAAUGGAAAAUGCGAGUGGGGAAGAGCAAGCCCUUAGGAGGCAGCCAGGCCCUCACCCGGUUUCUAUCAUCACUGAAGUCUCCUCCAGGCCAAUGAGUUUCUGAAUUUAUGAAUAUGAAUACGACAGACGCUCUUCACAAUCUUGCUGACACUUUCACAUGGUUCAGUGAAACGCUGUUCACAGAUGCAGGAAAGUUAAACUUCAGGCCUGAUUCAUGGUGAAUGGUGAGAAAACUGAGGAACAAAGAGGUCAAGGUAACCUGUACAAGAUCACACGCUGGAAAGCAACAGUGCUGGCCUUGAACCUGCGUCUGUCAUCAGUAUUCUAUCCGGAUGCAUCGCUUUUUGUCUCAUCAUUGUGUGCAGGAGGUUCACACAGGUUGAUACCUGUGGACUUAAUUCAUGAAUGUUAACCACUCUGUAGUUUUCCCUUUUAUAAUUUUUUUUU
rnacentral:lncRNA from 10 species